rnacentral:rRNA from 1 species
UACGAGUGCCCCAAGCGUUAUCCGGAAUCAUUGGGCGUAAAGGGUGUGUAGGUUGUCUUGUUAGUCUUCUGUGAAAUUCUUCGGCUCAACCGGGGUCCGCAGGGAAACGGCAAGACUAGAGGAUGUGAGAGGUGAAUGGAACUCAUGGUGUAGGGGUGAAAUCCGUUGAUAUCAUGGGGAACACCGAAAGCGAAGGCAAUUCACUGGCGCAUUCCUGACACUCAAACACGAAAGCGUGGGUAGCGAAUGGG